ACCUGCUGGUGGCAUCGCCCUGAGAGCGGCGCAGCUCCUCUGGCGCUCAGCUGUGUCCUUGUGGUGCCUACAGUAUGUUCCAAAUAUAUAUAUACAAACAAAUAGGCAUUUAGGCUCCAGCGCUAUUUGCCUCUUUCUUAGGAGCAGUCAACUGCAAGUCGCAGACAUCCCACCACCCAAGCUAGACUGCCCAAGAAAUGGAUUUGUUUUUGUGAAGAUGUUUCUGUUUCUUUGUCUGCUAAAGCCAUACGUAUUUCACAACGGAAAAAUAAAUGUUCUUGGUGACGGUU